rnacentral:rRNA from 1 species
GAUGAACGCUGACAGAAUGCUUAACACAUGCAAGUCUACUUGAUCCUUCGGGUGAUGGUGGCGGACGGGUGAGUAACGCGUAAAGAACUUGCCUUGCAGUCUGGGACAACGUCUGGAAACGGACGCUACUUCCGGAUAUUAUGAUUGAAUCGCAUGAUUUGAUUAUGAAAGCUAUAUGCGCUGCGAGAGAGCUUUGCGUCCCAUUAGUUAGUUGGUGAGGUAACGGCUCACCAAGACGAUGAUGGGUAGCCGGCCUGAGAGGGUGAACGGCGACAAGGGGACUGAGACACGGCCCUUACUCCUACGGGAGGCAGCAGUGGGGAAUAUUGGACAAUGAACCAAAAGUCUGAUCCAGCAAUUCUGUGUGCACGAUGAAGUUUUUCGGAAUGUAAAGUGCUUUCAGUUGGGAAGAAGAAAGUGACGGUACCAACAGAAGAAGCGACGGCUAAAUACGUGCCAGCAGCCGCCGUAA